AGCAGUAGGGAAUCUUCCACAAUGGACGCAAGUCUGAUGGAGCAACGCCGCGUGAGUGAAGAAGGUUUUCGGAUCGUAAAGCUCUGUUGUUGGUGAAGAAGGAUAGAGGCAGUAACUGGUCUUUAUUUGACGGUAAUCAACCAGAAAGUCACGGCUAACUACGUGCCAGCAGCCGCGGUAAUACGUAGGUGGCAAGCGUUGUCCGGAUUUAUUGGGCGUAAAGCGAGCGCAGGCGGAAUGAUAAGUCUGAUGUGAAAGCCCACGGCUCAACCGUGGAACUGCAUCGGAAACUGUCAUUCUGAGGCAG
rnacentral:rRNA from 1 species